UACGGAAGGCAGCAGUGGGGAAUAUUGCACAAUGGGCGCAAGCCUGAUGCAGCCAUGCCGCGUGUAUGAAGAAGGCCUUCGGGUUGUAAAGUACUUUCAGUCGUGAGGAAGGUGUUAAGGUUAAUAACCUUAGCAAUUGACGUUAGCGACAGAAGAAGCACCGGCUAACUCCGUGCCAGCAGCCGCGGUAAUACGGAGGGUGCGAGCGUUAAUCGGAAUUACUGGGCGUAAAGGGCACGCAGGCGGUUAAUUAAGUUGGAUGUGAAUCCCCGGGCUUAACCUGGGAAUGGCAUUCAAGACUGGUUAGCUAGAGUCUUGUAGAGGGGGUAGAAUUCCAUGUGUAGCGGUGAAAUGCGUAGAGAUGUGGAGGAAUACCGGGUGGCGAAGGCGGCCCCUGGGACAAAGACUGACGCUCAUGUGCGAAAGCGUGGGGAGCAAACAGGGAUUAGAUACC
rnacentral:rRNA from 1 species